AGGAAAGAAAAAGGCAUCAGUUAGUGAAAGGAUGAAUAAUGCUAUAUCAUUAUAAAAGCAAGACUUGUAAGAUCAAUAGUGAGAGAAGAGAGAAUGUUAAGUUGGAUAACUGAUGUUUUAAUUGAAAGGACACUGUCAGGUUUAAAAAACCUGAGCUUAAACACCUUGAGUGAAAUCCUGCCCUUAUUGAAAUCGGUGACAAAGCGGUAGGGCCAGCAUUUGUCACCAAAAGAUUGAAGGUGAAAGAGUUAAAACCUAAUUUCCUUUCAUGUAGUUUUGCAUUUCUGUCUGGCCAAUGGAAAUAGACAAGGCUCUUUUCACUUUCAGGUUCUUAUGCACUGACUUAAGGCUUUAAUAUUUGAACUAACCCCUGCAUGAAUUUUAAAAAGUUAAAAAAAAAAAUUGUUAUGGAAGUGUCUCUAAAAAAAAAAAAAAAUAAUAAUUUCAGAAAGUUGCUAAAGUAAGUUUUGGCUCAAAGUUGACCUAAGUGUCCCUUGAAUUAUCCAGGUUAUGCAACUAAUUCUGGAAAAAGUCAUUAAACUAUAUAGAUAAGAGGGUUUGUAAUUAAAUGACUACUUUACCCUGUAUUUAAGGAUAAAAAACAAUAUACACCUCUAUCCCGAUAACACGCUGUCCUCGGGAGCCAAAAAAUCUUACCACAUUAUAUCGGAGGUGUACUCUAAUUCCCUACAGAGUUCUUAGGACUGCACUGUAAAACACUGCACUUAGCCCCUGUACAUUGUAGGCUAUGCUGCUAAGAUUUUUCAGAGUAUGCUUAAUAUUAAUGCAAUUAAAGCUGUGAUUAGCAGAGAUUAGGGAAACAAUGGUUAGAAGUGCAAAAGGUAAAUGAGACUAGUGCAAGAGAAACAGGCAAUUUUGUAUCAGAUUUACCUCUUUCCCCCUCCCAUCUCAGCAAAUUCCAUCAUCCUUCCUGUUUGAGCUGUUUUCUAUUAUAUUCCACUUAUCAGCUGUGUUCUUGGAAGAAGAUAGAGGCCUGCUGUACUGCAUUUUAUCACCAUCGAUUAAAACCUCAUUUUCUUACAUUUAAAUGUUUAUGAAACAGCCUUCCCACAAACAUUAGCCAUAUAGCAAUUGUAUAGAAUGGAAUUGUUUUAUACAGUAUCUUUCAUAUUUGGUCUCCUGAAGUGUUCUCUAAAGUAAUCAGAUACCAUUCAUCUUCCAUUUGUGUAGGUAAAAUGGAGCCGCCCUUUAAAUAUGGCUCAGGAAUAGCUCUUUGGAUAGCAGAUAUUAUUGAGAGGAAAUAGCGACAAGAGUCCAUGCUAUCAAGACAUCCGAGUAGCCCUAGACUAGAUGCAUCUGAACAAGUUACUUCACUAGCAUCUUCCCUCCAGCUAGAAGCAACAUUAGGUAUACAGCAUAUGCCAUUUUACAGCAAGUCACCACUGGGAUGGUGAAAUGGAAGAGAAAUACUCACUUUAGUCGAUGAACGUUGGAAGGCAUUGGAGAAAAACACCACAGUUAGGACUGUUAAUGACUUACACAUUGUUGAUACAGGACUGAAUUUGAAAACAUGCUCUAACAUUUAUCAUAAUAUAAUGAAGGUGGUUAGUGCCACAUUAAAAUAAAAAUAGUUCUAUACAAUAUGUUCAUUUGGUCAUGUGCUAUUUACAGAUUU